rnacentral:rRNA from 1 species
UACGUAGGGGGCUAGCGUUGUCCGGAUUUAUUGGGCGUAAAGAGCGUGUAGGCGGCCAUGCAGGUCAGCUGUGAAAACUCGAGGCUCAACCUCGAGACGUCGGUUGAAACCGUAUGGCUAGAGUCCGGAAGAGGAGAGUGGAAUUCCCGGUGUAGCGGUGAAAUGCGCAGAUAUCGGGAAGAACACCCGUGGCGAAGGCGGCUCUCUGGGACGGUACUGACGCUGAGACGCGAAAGCGUGGGGAGCGAACAGG